rnacentral:lncRNA from 1 species
GGAUAUUUGCAGUAUCUCAGUGGGCAGAAGUGUUACCGGAUGGUGCCAUGCAGUUCCAGGCUCUUGGUGUCUUAAACAAAGAAUUGGAUGAGACACACACAGACAGCAAAGCAAGAAGCAGCAGUUUAUUAAGCACAGUAUCACACUCUUGGAGAGGGAGAGCGAACUGAUCUCUAUGAGGUGAGAUCAGCAUUACUUUGGGUCUUUUUAUGUUUGUUUGUUUGUUUUUUUGUUUUUCUUCGCUUCCCAAGGCUGCCAAAUCUCUAUCCAGUGUCUGCCUUUUUUCGGGGGGAAGGGGUGGUGGUGAGGUGGGGACGAAGUCACCCAAGCUUGAGUGCAGUGGCACAAUCUUGGCUCACUGCAACCUCAACCUUUUGGGUUGAAGCGAUUCUUCUGCCUCUGCCUCCCUGGUAGCUGGGACUACAGGCGCCCGCCACCAUGCCUGGCUAAUUUUUGUAUUUUUAGUAGAGAUGGGGUUUCACCAGGUUGGCCAGGCUGGUCCUGAAUUCCUGACCUCAAGUGAUCCGCCCACCUUGGCCUCCCAAAGUGCUGGGAUUACAGGCGUGAGCCACCGCGCCUGGCCAGUGCCUGCCUUUUUGAUGGUUAAGUAUGUUGCUUAGUUACUUUGACCCAUCCCAUAAUUUUAAGUACAUGGAUAAUAUGCAGUCCAUAUGCAUGAACUUUAAUGAGCUGAUUAUCAUACAGGGUCAUGUUAAGGAUACUUUUUCUCUCUAAUGCACAUGCAUAGCUCUGAAGAACUGCCCCUUACUGGUUUGGUCCAGAUCCUGCUGGCCACGGGUGUCCUUGCUCACUUCUCUAUCUUACUUUUUGUUUUGGCUGCUCAACUUCUGCCUCUUGCUUCUUGCUCACCCGUCCCCUCACCUUGCUUCUGCUCUCUGCUUUUACUUAUUCUGCCCUUUAUCCAACUUUUAAUUCUCUUUGCUAUGCUCCUGCCCCAUUGGUCUAUGCUCCUCCUGCCUCAGAAGGGCUAGACCAUGGCCCAUCUCUUUCCCACAGUCCCCAGUUUGCAAUUAAAAUCAGAAAAAAAAAUGGGAAGGAGAGACUUAAGGAAGCCACAGAAUCUGUAGAAAGGAGGAACUUGUGAACCACAUAUGACCCAGGGGAGCUGACAAGCCCUCUACUCCCACUUCCACAGUUCGGAGAGGAAGACAUCAAGGUCCACAGUGACAAGUGCUAUGGUCUGAAUAUGUCACCUCAAAAUUCAUUUGUUGAAAUUUGAAUCCCCAUGUGAUAGUAUUAGAAGGUAUAAUGAUUUGGGAGGCGAUUAGGCUAUGAGGACUCUGGGAUUAGUCUAAUGGGAUUAGUCCCCUCAUCUGAGAGACCCAGGGGAAUUUGCACAGCCCUUCCACCACAUGAGAACAUAAGGAAAAGGCACCAUCUAUGAGGAAGCAAACUGUCUCCAGACACCAAACCUGCUGGCACCUUGGUCUUGGACUUCUCAGCCUCCAGAACUGUGAGAAAUGAAUUUCUGUUGUUUAUAAACUGGCCAGUUUAUGGUAUUUUGUUGUAGCAGCAUGAAUGGACAGAGAUAGAAAGCGAAUUGCCCAAAUCACACAGGUCUCCUGGGCCCUGUCUCCUGCACCAAUGUCUGCCCAGGAGCCACUUAAUUAAUCUUGUCUGCCCAGGACAGACUGGGCUGGGACAGGGGAAGCUGAUGUUACUUGGAGAGUGAAAGAACUGUCAAGUCUCUCACAUGAGAUAAGGAAAGACAUUUCAUUCAUUCAUUCAUUCAUUCAUUCAUUCGUUCUGUAUUCAGAUUGUGAGCACCCGUGCUGUGCCUUGAGAUUUCCAGCAAAGGGUAA